AUUGAACGCUGGCGGCAGGCCUAACACAUGCAAGUCGAACGAGUGGCGGACGGGUGAGUAAUGUCUGGGAAACUGCCUGAUGGAGGGGGAUAACUACUGGAAACGGUAGCUAAUAACGCAUACCAUCGGAUGUGCCCAGAUGGGAUUAGCUAGUAGGUGGGGUAAAGGCUCACCUAGGCGACGAUCCAUAGCUGGUCUGAGAGGAUGACCGGGCACACUGGAACUGAGACACGGUCCAGAAUGCUAAGGUAGGCAGCAGUGGGGAAUAGUGCACAAUGGGCGCAAGCCUGAUGCAGCCAUGCCGCGUGUAUGAAGAAGGCCUUCGGGUUGUAAAGUAAUUUCAGCGGGGAGGCGUUACCCGCAUAAGAAGCACCGGCUAACUCCGUGCCAGCAGCCGCGGUAAUAC
rnacentral:rRNA from 1 species